GUUAUCUGAUCCCGUCUGAACCCUUCUCGACCCUUACCAAUCUCUCUCUCUCUCUCUCUCUCUAAAUUUCGCUCCCAAUUUGAUAAUGCGAUUGCAAUCGCCGCGAUCUGAGUCACUGUUUUUGAAUUCGUCGGGGUUUGAUCGGACUAGGAAUUUAUGACAUCGCGGUGGCGAUGGAGGAGGACCCUAGGUUAGGGUUUGAGUUUUUGGGAGCUAUCUGCUCGAAAUUGGUGACAGUGGCGUCGAUGCUCAGCUCCGGUGACAUUUCUGAUAGCUACAGCUCCGGCCUUGGAUCGAUAACUGAUCGCUUAGGGUUCCGGUCCUCCCAUUCGCUCUCAAAUUUCCUUCAAUGUUGUGAUUCGAUCGCUUGAAGAGUACCGGUUUGCUAAUUCGCUCACUUGAAGAGUACCGGUUUGCUAAGCAAGAGGAUGAAGAGAUGCUAGUACUGCAUAAGGAUUUGGUCGAAGGUCUCCUCAGCCCAUGGAUGGUUUGUAUUUUCAACACUAACACCAUCAUUUACUGUUUUGAUUUCAUAAUUUUUGUGUUGCGUAGUUGAUCUGGAUAAUUGAGCUUUCUGCGAAAUUGGUGCAGUUGUGUGAUUAGAUUGUGAGUGAAUGGAUUUUUUGUAGGUUUUUGUUUGAUACAUGUUGAUUACAGAUAAAGCAUAUACAUAAUGUUUAGAAUCUCAUGUCCUGCUGCUUGCUGGGAUCUCAUUGAGUCUAUGAAAUCUGUAACAUGUGCAUCUCUACAUGGUUCUUGAUUUUGUUUUGGAUUUUUAUGGCAUUUGAUGUUUAUAGUAGCUCAAGUAGAGCCGGCUAGUACAGUUGAUAAUCAGCCAGUGGAGGAGCCUCUAUCUGUGAAAUUCACUUGGACAAUUGAGAACUUGUCUAGGUUGAACACCAAAAAGCACUACUCUGACAUGUUCAUUAUUGGUGGUUAUAAAUGGUAUUCUUCCCUUGACAAUCAUCGUAUGGUCUAAUUUAGCUCUUGAUCUACAUAUGAGAUUUUACUAGCACAGGGUUGUGUUAUUUGUAUAAACUUGUAUUCUUAUGCUUCUUUGGGAUUUAGGUAGUUUUCAUAGUAUUUUAUAUUCUAGAAAAUGUAUUCAAUCAAAGAUGUCGGUUGCCAUGAUUCUUUGUGUUGAUGGUGCCAAUUUCGAGUUGGUUAUUGGCUUUAAAAAUGCAGAUUGGCUAUUGCCUUGUCCAUUGGGUCAGCAUGGCGUAGACAACAACUAUUCAUUCUCAUUCACUGACAGGAGAUGGAAAGGCUUAUAAGAAGGCAAGACGUCCUCAUGAGAAGGAACAUUUGGAUGCUGAGCUGAAGCUUGUUGGAGAAUAUGGGAUUUGGUGCAAGAGGGAGUUGUUGGCCAAGUCAUUAUUAACCUCAAAUCACUGGUUAUAUCACUAGUCAAGUUACUGAUCAUGUCAUAGUCAUGAACAUGUCACUGACUAUGUCAUGGUUAAUUCCUGGUCAAAUCACUGGCAAAGUCACUGUUAACCUCAAGUCAGUGGCUGUGAUGCCCCAGAAAUUUGUAUUUAUUUUCCGAGGAUUUUCCGGAAUCUAAUUUGUGGUUAUUAGACUGUUUCGUGGCUCGUGAAUGAAGCGGAAG